ACCUCCAGCAGCCUCGCCGAGGAACGAGAACCAGCCUCUGGCUCCCAGGACCAAGGAAAAGAAGAGCAGGCCCGUGAGAAGCUUCAUGGUGCUGAAAGGAGAGGACAGGGUCAGGCAGUCCCGUCCACACUGGCUCAUCCUCUUUUGGGAUUUGUAUUCCAAAGGGAGCCUCGUUGUUUAAUUAAGUCCACUGGUUCUCAUUGGAGUCUUAGCGGCUUAUCUAGGAAGCCUCGCUGGGGACCUCACUCAGAGCCACAAGUCCUCAGUGAAAUGGGAAGCAAAAUCAUCAACUGACACGAAGAGAUGAGAUAGGAAGUGUUGGAAUUUUCAGGCAAGAAGUAAAAAAUAUUCAUCAAGGAGAAUGGGAGACUGAAUGAGCAUGAGAAAGGUAACAAGAGUGCAAGGUAGCUCACAGUUACUGAUCAUGAAUUUAAGGAGAGAUUGAUGAACUACAGACAUCUCCAAACCCAAAAUCUCUUCUGGAAUUGUGUGGUAGUGGUGAAGCUAAGAACUCACUUGGGGACAGGAAAUUUUUAAGUCCCAAGAAUUCUUCUUAAGCUUUGUUUAACUUUCAAGUGACUGAUAAGUACAUGUUAUGAAUCAUCACUAAACCUUCUUCACCAGUUGGGCUAUUUGAAUAUCUAAAUCUUUAAACAUGUUCAGUAAUUGUAAAAAACAGGAUUUGCAGUU